AGGGAAUAUUGCACAAUGGGCGCAAGCCUGAUGCAGCAACGCCGCGUGCGCGAUGAAGGCCUUCGGGUCGUAAACUCCUUUUCUUGGGGAAGAGGUAGGACGGUACCCGGGGAAUAAGUCACGGCUAACUACGUGCCAGCAGCCGCGGUAAUACGUAGGUGGCGAGCGUUAUCCGGAAUUAUUGGGCGUAAAGCGCACGCAGGCGGCUUUUUAAGUUUGACGUGAAAACUCCUAGCUUAACUGGGAGAGGACGUUGAAGACUGGGAGGCUUGAGGUAAUGAGAGGGGUGCGGAAUUCCCGGUGUAGUGGUGGAAUGCGUAGAUAUCGGGAGGAACACCAGUGGCGAAAGCGGCACCCUGGCAUUGACCUGACGCUCAGGUGCGAAAGCGUGGGGAGCGAACGGGAUUAGAUACCCCGGUAGUCCACGCCGUAAACGAUGAACACUAGGUGUAGGUGGUGUUAAAACUGUCUGUGCCGAAGCCAACGCGCUAAGUGUUCCGCCUGGGGAGUACGGCCGCAAGGCUA
rnacentral:rRNA from 1 species